rnacentral:rRNA from 1 species
ACGAAGGGGGCUAGCGUUGUUCGGAUUUACUGGGCGUAAAGCGCACGUAGGCGGACUAUUAAGUCAGGGGUGAAAUCCCGGGGCUCAACCCCGGAACUGCCUUUGAUACUGGUAGUCUUGAGUUCGAGAGAGGUGAGUGGAAUUCCGAGUGUGGCGGUGAAAUUCGUAGAUAUUCGGAGGAACGCGAGUGGGGGAGGCGAACCACUGGGUUUAGACUGACGCUGAGGUGCGAAAGCGUCGGGAACAAACAG